UUUAGAGGAAGUAAAAGUCGUAACAAGGUUUCCGUAGGUGAACCUGCGGAAGGAUCAUUAUUGAAUAUAAAAAGGUUGCGAGGUUGUCGCUGGCUUUUGAAGCAUGUGCACGCCUUUCAAACUUGUUUAUCCUUACCCACCUGUGCACCAUUUGUAGAUGCUGGAAUUUGUCUUAUUUUCAAGGGGGGAAAUCCUUUGAGAAUGUUUGAGAGUCUGCUGGUCCUCUAUGGGUCGGCUGCCCUUGCUUACUGGCAUCUAUGUUUUUCAAUACAAAUACCCAAACAAAGUUAAUAGAAUGUCAUUAAAAUGGCAGCGAUGCCUUUUAAAAUGAAAUACAACUUUCAACAACGGAUCUCUUGGCUCUCGCAUCGAUGAAGAACGCAGCGAAAUGCGAUAAGUAAUGUGAAUUGCAGAAUUCAGUGAAUCAUCGAAUCUUUGAACGCACCUUGCGCUCCUUGGUAUUCCGAGGAGCAUGCCUGUUUGAGUGUCAUUAAAUUCUCAAUCCCUUUGGGCUUUUGUUAGCUUUGAAGGUGACUUGGAUGUGGGGGGAUUUUUGCGGGCCCUUUUUUGUAAAGGUCGGCUCCUCUUAAAUGCAUUAGCGGGAACCUUUUGUGGGAUCGCCUCUGGUGUGAUAAUUAUCUAUGCCAUUGUCGUGAAGCAAAAAUGUGGCUUUAUGUUUGUAAAGCUGUAUGGGGGUUUUAGCUUUCUAAUUGGAUCCAUUGAGUUGGACGAGAUUGAUCAAUUUGACCUCAAAUCAGGUAGGACUACCCGCUGAACUUAAGCAUAUCAAUAAGCGGA
rnacentral:rRNA from 1 species